rnacentral:tRNA from 14 species
GGGCACUUAGCUCAGCGGUAGAGCACUACCUUGACAUGGUAGGGGUCAGAGGUUCGAUCCCUCUAGUGCCCACCA